rnacentral:rRNA from 1 species
UCGCGGAUCAGCAUGCCGCGGUGAAUACGUUCCCGGGCCUUGUACACACCGCCCGUCACACCAUGGGAGCCGGUAAUACCCGAAGUCAGUAGUCCAACCUCGUGAGGACGCUGCCGAAGGUAGGAUUGGCGACUGGGGUGAAGUCGUAACAAGGUAAC